GGUGAAAAGCACCCCGGAAGGGGAGUGAAAUAGAACCUGAAACCGUGUGCUUACAAGUAGUCAGAGCCCGUUAAUGGGUGAUGGCGUGCCUUUUGUAGAAUGAACCGGCGAGUUACGAUUUGAUGCAAGGUUAAGCAGUAAAUGUGGAGCCGUAGCGAAAGCGAGUCUGAAUAGGGCGUUUAGUAUUUGGUCGUAGACCCGAAACCAGGUGAUCUACCCUUGGUCAGGUUGAAGUUCAGGUAACACUGAAUGGAGGACCGAACCGACUUACGUUGAAAAGUGAGCGGAUGAACUGAGGGUAGCGGAGAAAUUCCAAUCGAACCUGGAGAUAGCUGGUUCUCUCCGAAAUAGCUUUAGGGCUAGCCUCAAGUGAUGAUUAUUGGAGGUAGAGCACUGUUUGGACGAGGGGCCCCUCUCGGGUUACCGAAUUCAGACAAACUCCGAAUGCCAAUUAAUUUAACUUGGGAGUCAGAACAUGGGUGAUAAGGUCCGUGUUCGAAAGGGAAACAGCCCAGACCACCAGCUAAGGUCCCAAAAUAUAUGUUAAGUGGAAAAGGAUGUGGCGUUGCCCAGACAACUAGGAUGUUGGCUUAGAAGCAGCCAUCAUUUAAAGAGUGCGUAAUAGCUCACUAGUCGAGUGACACUGCGCCGAAAAUGUACCGGGGCUAAACAUAUUACCGAAGCUGUGGAUUGUCCUUUGGACAA
rnacentral:rRNA from 1 species